UACGGAGGAUGCGAGCGUUAUCCGGAUUUAUUAGGUUUAAAGGGUGUGUAGGCGGAUUGAUAAGUCAGCGGUGAAAUCCUUCGGCUCAACCGGAGAACUGCCAUUGAUACUGUCGAUCUUGAAUGUAUUUGAGGUAGGCGGAAUGUGUAAUGUAGCGGUGAAAUGCUUAGAUAUUACACAGAACACCGAUUGCGUAGGCAGCUUACUAAAAUGCGAUUGACGCUGAGGCACGAAAGCGUGGGGAGCAAACAGG
rnacentral:rRNA from 1 species